rnacentral:rRNA from 1 species
AUUGAACGCUGGCGGCAGGCCUAACACAUGCAAGUCGAACGAGUGGCGGACGGGUGAGUAAUGUCUGGGAAACUGCCUGAUGGAGGGGGAUAACUACUGGAAACGGUCGCUAAUACCGCAUACCAUCGGAUGUGCCCAGAUGGGAUUAGCUUGUGGGUGGGGUAACGGCUAUCCAAGGCGACGAUCCCUAGCUGGUCUGAGAGGAGGACCAGACACACUGGAACUGAGACACGGGCAAGACUCCUACGGGAGGCAGCAGUGGGGAAUAUUGCACAAUGGGCGCGAGCCUGAUGCAGACAUGCCGCGUGUAUGAAGAAGGACUUCGGGUUGUAAAGUACUGUCAGCGGGGAGGCGUUACCCGCAGAAGAAGCACCGGCGAACUCCGUGCCAGCAGCCGCGGUAAUUC